rnacentral:rRNA from 1 species
UACGGGGGGGGCAAGCGUUGUUCGGAAUUACUGGGCGUAAAGGGCUCGUAGGUGGCCAACUAAGUCAGACGUGAAAUCCCCAGGCUUAACCUGGGAACUGCGUCUGAUACUGGAUGGCUUGAAUUCGGGAGAGGGAUGCAGAAUUCCAGGUGUAGCGGUGAAAUGCGUAGAUAUCUGGAGGAAUACCGGUGGCGAAGGCGGCAUCCCGGACCGAGAUUGACACUGAUGAGCGAAAGCCAGGGGAGCAAACGGG